rnacentral:sRNA from 18 species
CCUAUAGGCUGACCACCUGUAGAACAUGCCAUCGAGUAAAAACCAUCCCAGUAGGGUUAUUGGUACGCCCGCCAUUAAAGAGAUUGAAAGCAAGUGAAAUUGACCGUGCAUGUUAGGUAUGUGUGAUUGUGAGUAGCGGUAGAUCAGUUGCCGAGCUGGUC